rnacentral:lncRNA from 1 species
UAUAACUACCUGAAGGGAGGUUGUAGUGAGCUGGGGGUCGGCCUCUUCUCUUGUGUGACUAGUGAUAGGACUAGAGGGAAUGGCUUCAAGCUGCACCAGGGAAGGUUCAGGCUGGACGUUAGGAAAUACUACUUCUCCAAAAGGGUGGUCAUGCACUGGAAUGGGCUGCCCAGAGAGGUGAUGGAGUCACCGACCCUGGUGAUGUUCAAAGAGCGUUUGGAUGUUGUUUUGAGGGACAUGGUUUAGUGAGAACCAUUGGUGAAGGGCGAAUGUUUGGACUGGAUGAUCCUGUGGGUCUUUUUCAACCUUGGUGAUUCUAUAAUUCUAUGAUUCUAUGAUACCACUUACUAGCUAAAAACAGCAAACCCCAACUCUCAACUACAUGGUUGCAUUACAGGCUGCAGAAUGGGUGGAAUGGCUAUCUCUCACCUGCCAUGGUUGGUAGUUCAGCAUAUUAACCUAGCAUAAAAAAAAUGAGUUCCAUCUAAUAUUCUAGGUGGUGAUCUGCUGCUACUUGAGGUGGAUGUUUUUCCUCUUCCACUAACAUGGACAGUAGUGCAUUGCAGUUGGUGGGCAGGUGGGGAGAUUUUGCUUAGAAAACACUCAAAAGGAUUGCCUGAGCUUGGUAUUGAAAGCCCUUAGUGCAGGACUGUGUUGACAUUUGCAUUAUCUCAUCAUUAGGACACAUAAGAAAGUUUUAUUGUCCUAACAAGCAGCUACUCUUUUACAGAGGAAAACAGCCAAGGAGAUGUUCAAGAACAGUGUUGGUGCCUUUGCUGAGCAAGCAGCAAGUUUUCUCUUCUAUCCAGACAAGAUAUGGAGCUACAUUUACGAGAGGAGAAGAAAUCUUUAUCUUUGAGUCAGAAUCCAGCUCCAAGAUCCUGCUUUGGCUGCUAUUAUCUCACAUUAUGUGGCUCAAUCACUUGAUUACCUUUAGCUGAAUAUAUUGGCAGUUCUUGUGUGAGCUUCUUUUGUUCUUGUUCUGUAGUUCUCAUCUGAGUCAAAUAUUCAUGGUCAGCCUUUAUUGUGGUAGAAAAAUACAUGUAAACACUGAAAAAAAAUGAAUAGAUCUAUGCAAGACUUGUCUAUCUGUGGUUCCUGAAAAAAAGACCUUGUUCAUCAGCUAUUUUCAGGGACAUAUGUCAAAAUUUUUUUCUACUGUGUUAUACUCUAGAAAAUGCUGACAUUAUAACUGAGUCUCUUAAAAGCUUUUGAUUUGUUUUUUGUUUUCUUGUAUAUUUUAUUUAGCACUUUGCCUUACUCAGCCAGCUUUGUACUUCCUUUCCUUUAUUUGCUUUAGCUAUGGUGUUGUUUGCUUGCUGUUUUCUUUUGUUGAAGAGAAAACAAAGCUGAAUUUUUAUUCU